rnacentral:rRNA from 1 species
GACGAACGCUGGCGGCGUGCUUAACACAUGCAAGUCGAACGAUGAAGGAGGAGCUUGCUCCUCCGGAUUAGUGGCGAACGGGUGAGUAAUACGUGAGCAAUGUGCCCUUGACUCUGGGAUAAGCGCUGGAAACGGCGUCUAAUACCGGAUACGACCCUCGGAGGCAUCUCCUGAUGGUGGAAAGAACUUCGGUCAAGGAUCAGCUCACGGCCUAUCAGCUAGUUGGUGAGGUAACGGCUCACCAAGGCGACGACGGGUAGCCGGCCUGAGAGGGUAACCGGCCACACUGGGACUGAGACACGGCCCAGACUCCUACGGGAGGCAGCAGUGGGGAAUAUUGCACAAUGGGCGCAAGCCUGAUGCAGCAACGCCGCGUGAGGGACGAAGGCCUUCGGGUUGUAAGCCUCUUUUAGCAGGGAAGAAGCGAAAGUGACGGUACCUGCAGAAAAAGCACCGGCUAACUACGUGCCAGCCGCCGCAGUAACAC